AGAGUUUGAUCAUGGCUCAGAACGAACGCUGGCGGCAUGGAUUAGGCAUGCAAGUCGAACGAAGCAGCAAUGCUUAGUGGCGCAAGGGUGAGGAACACGUGAGUGACCUACCCGCAAGUUUGGAACAGCUCCUGGAAACGGGAAUUAAUACCGGAUGUGAUCAUGAGACUGCAUGGUUUCAUGAUUAAAGCAGUAAUGCGCUUGCGGAUGGGCUCGCGUCCCAUUAGCUAGUUGGUGAGGUAACGGCCCACCAAGGCCAUGAUGGGUAGCUGGUCUGAGAGGACGACCAGCCACACUGGGACUGAGAACUGCCCAGACUCCUACGGGAGGCUGCAGUCGAGAAUUUUGGGCAAUGGACGAAAGUCUUGACCCAGCAAUGCCGCGUGCGGGAUGAAGGUCUUCGGAUUGUAAACCGCUGUUUGGAGGGACGAAAAUUGACGGUACUUCCAGAGGAAGCCACGGCUAACUACGUGCCAGCCGCGGC
rnacentral:rRNA from 1 species